GGCGUCACUACAGACUCCCUGGUUCAAAUCCAGGCUGCGUUUCUAUCAAAAAACCACAAACAUUAUUUGCCAAUAUCAUAACUGGAGCUGGACAUCUUUGGAGCAGAAGAAUGAGGACAGCUUUUGUAUGCUAACGUACACUCCUUAACAGUCUUACUGGAUGAAAAGACAGCAAGAAAACACAUAUGCCAAUAUGUAAUAGUCGUCUAUUUUAUUGCAGUAUUGGUAGUUGGUUCAACAACUUGUUAUACUAGAGGACAAAAAACUGAAAAUGCAUAACCCAUAUUUAAUAUUCAUGCAGUGACUGAACAACAACUGCAUUUCCACCCCCACCCCCCCACCUCUGAAGGCAUAGUAUCAUGGCAGUCAGUCACUUAUUGCUGCAGAUGUGCUCAAUAAUGCUUGAGCAUGUGAUACUCCUCAAAGCAUGGUGAAAUACAUAGAGGUGUAUCACAAGCUAAACACAUGUAUUUUGUCAUCUUCCUCUGCUUACUUCUCCUGGUGCCAGACAGGCAGACUUUGCAGUGCCUCCUUGUGCGACUACCUUGAGCAGCAGUUUGAGGGACUUUGCAGGGAAAAUGCCGUGCAGUAAGGCGUAGGGGAUUGUUUACAGCAGGACGACCCCCAGUGGAUGGGCGCCGAGGGGUGUGGUGCUCCUCCAGCAGCUCUCUCAUUAGGUUCUCUCUGUAUUUUUGUCAGGUGAUCCACCUUCCCUGUGGCCGACAUGGUUGCUGUAUGGACAGUG